UAUGAUCCAGAGUACCACGGGACACGUGAAACCCUGUGGGAAGCAGGAGGGACCACCCUCCAAGGCUAAAUACUACCUAGUGACCGAUAGCGUAUAGUACCGUGAGGGAAAGGUGAAAAGAACCCCGGGAGGGGAGUGAAAUAGAACCUGAAACCCUGCACUUACAAGCUGUGGAAGCACAUUUCUUGUGUGACCGCGUACUUUUUGUAGAACGGGCCAACGAGUUACGUUAAGUAGCAAGGUUAAGCACUUAAGGUGCGGAGCCGUAGCGAAAGCGAGUUUUAACUGAGCGUUCAGUUACUUGACGUAGACCCGAAACCGGGCGACCUACCCAUGAGCAGGAUGAAGCGAAAGUAAAAUUUCGUGGAGGUCCGAACCCACGAGCGUUGAAAAGCUCGGGGAUGACUUGUGGGUAGCGGUGAAAUUCCAAUCGAGCCCGGAGAUAGCUGGUUCUCCCCGAAAUAGCUUUAGGGCUAGCCUCAAGGUGAGAGAUACGGAGGUAGAGCACUGAAUGUCCUAGGGGGUAUUGCACCUACCGAAGACUAUCAAACUCCGAAUGCCGUCAUCUUAUACUUGGGAGUCAGACUGUGGGUGAUAAGAUUCAUAGUCGAAAGGGCAACAGCCCAGAUCGUCAGCUAAGGUCCCUAAAUGUAAGUUAAGUGGUAAAGGAUGUGGGAUUGCACAGACAACCAGGAUGUUGGCUUAGAAGCAGCCACUCAUUCAAAGAGUGCGUAAUAGCUCACUGGUCGAGUGAUCCUGCGCCGAAGAUUUCCGGGGCUAAAACUUACUACCGAAGCUACGGCAUCAGUAAUGAUGGGUAGGGGAGCUUCCCAUACGGGUUGAAGCAUGACCGUAAGGACAUGUGGACAGUAUGGGAGUGAGAAUGUUGGCAUGAGUAGCGAGAUGUGGGUGAGAAUCCCACAGGCCGUAAACCCAAGGUUUCCAGGGGAAGGUUCGUCCGCCCUGGGUUAGUCGGGACCUAAGCUGAGGCCGAAAGGCGUAGGUGAUGGACAACAGGUUGAUAUUCCUGUACUACCGAUAACCGUUUGAGAGAAGGGAUGACACAGUAGGAUAAGCUAAGCACACUGUUGGUUAUGUGUGCCCAAGCAUUGAGGCAGUCAAAGUAGGCAAAUCCGCUUUGAUAAUGCUGGGAUGUGAUGGGGAGCGAAAUUUAGUAGCGAAGUAGCUGAUUUCACACUGUCAAGAAAAGUCUCUAUCGAGGUUAAAGGUACCCGUACCGCAAACCGACACAGGUGGGUGAGGAGAGUAUCCUAAGGCCAGCGAGAGAACUGUUGUUAAGGAACUCGGCAAAAUGACCCCGUAACUUAGGGAUAAGGGGUGCCACCAUCAGGUGGCCGCAGAGAAUAGGCCCAAGCGACUGUUUACCAAAAACAUAGGUUUCUGCUAAGUCGCAAGACGAUGUAUAGGAGCUGACGCCUGCCCGGUGCUGGAAGGUUAAGGGGAUCUGUUAGAGCAAUCGAAGCAGUGAACUUAAGCCCCAGUAAACGGCGGCCGUAACUAUAACGGUCCUAAGGUAGCGAAAUUCCUUGUCGGGUAAGUUCCGACCCGCACGAAAGGCGUAACGAUUUGGGCACUGUCUCAACAACAGACUCGGUGAAAUUGUAAUUCCGGUGAAGAUGCCGGAUACCUGCGACAGGACGGAAAGACCCCAUGGAGCUUUACUGUAGCUUGACAUUGGGUCUUGGUACUACAUGUACAGGAUAGGUGGGAGGCUUUGAAACCAGGACGCCAGUUUUGGCGGAGCCAUCCUUGGGAUACCACCCUUGUAGUACUGGGACUCUAACCAUAGGCCAUGAAUCUGGUCUUGGGACACUGUCAGGUGGGCAGUUUGACUGGGGCGGUCGCCUCCCAAAAGGUAACGGAGGCGCUCAAAGGUUCUCUCAGUACGGUCGGAAAUCGUACGUAGAGUGUAAAGGCAAAAGAGAGCUUGAUUGCAAGACAUACAGGUCGAGCAAGGAUGAAAAUCGGACUUAGUGAUCCGGUGGUUCUGCGUGGAAGGGCCAUCGCUCAACGGAUAAAAGCUACCCUGGGGAUAACAGGCUUAUCUCCCCCAAGAGUCCACAUCGACGGGGAGGUUUGGCACCUCGAUGUCGGCUCAUCACAUCCUGGGGCUGUAGUAGGUCCCAAGGGUUGGGCUGUUCGCCCAUUAAAGUGGUACGCGAGCUGGGUUCAGAACGUCGUGAGACAGUUCGGUCCCUAUCCGUCGCAGGCGUAGGAAAUUUGAGAAGACCUGUCCUUAGUACGAGAGGACCGGGAUGGACGUACCUCUGGUGUACCAGUUGUCCUGCCAAGGGCAUGGCUGGGUAGCU
rnacentral:rRNA from 1 species